UCUCUAAAAUUUUGCUUGUCUGCUAGGCUACCCAGCCUGCCGGCGGGCCAGACAGCAGCAGCGGAUUAUAGUUUUCUCUCGUAUUUCCAGAUACCGGCUUUUCAUGAAGUCACUGGCUCUAUAAUGCGGUUACUCCUGGGUACCUUUUCACUCCCUCUGUCCUAGAGGUUUCUGCUGCCUGGAGGGGACCUGGAGGUCAGCCAGCUGGGCAGGAAGGCACUUCUGUAUCAGGCCUCUUCAACUCCUUCAGUGAUAAGGAAGGGCCCAAGACAUCCAUGUCCCCAGACACUGAGUUUGGAGACAAUCUGGUUCAUGGCUGGGCACAGUCAGACAAACUCUGAGGUUGAGCUGCGUUUUACUGCCUGGCGUGGCCACACACCAGCAGACCUUGACAGGUUUCCUCAGGAACUGGCAGGGACCUGGAGCCCUUCCCACACACCAGCUGUCAGCUCCCAGGACUGGCAGGUUCCUAGAGAUGCAGACAGGACAUUGAGUGCUUUGGGGCCAGCCAGACAUGCAGCAGACAGCCAAGGGAUGGCAGCACCCGCAGCCAGCCGUGACCCUUUUCUGGGCCCUGUCCAACCCCUGGGGGGCUGUCAGACUUGGAGAGGAUGAACAGGGGGGAGGCUUCGCUCCUGAUUCCCUGGCCUUACUCUCUGACCUCAUCACCUUGCCUUGGGUUGGUUCUGAACUCGCACAAGUGGUCGGCACUUGGUAGAAGAGGAGACAGAUGGGGAACCCCCACCCACUCUGCCUUUUUCCUGUGCUCCUGAUCCCAGGACAGACCUGGACUUAAGUCAGCUUCCGUUGAGGUGCCUGUGGAAUGUUACCGUUGAAAUGGAGCUUACAAGUUCUAGUCCAGUGGAUUUCAAGCCUUUUCAAAUCUCAAAAUCCUUGGUAAACAAGCCUGAGAAAAGCAAACCAGCUGUGGCUGAGUUGGGGUUGGAGGCCCAGAGCCGCCCUGACCCCUGCGAGAGCCCAUCAGGGACAUUUUCACCCGCAGGACAUUUUGAAAGUCACAAGUCUAGUCCAGCGCCCUAGUCAAGCAGGGACCAUCUCCACAGCAUCUCUGUAAUCCUGGAAAGCAGGGAGAUUGCUAGCUCACAAAACAGCCAAUUCCAAAGCUGGGUGGUAUUUUCGGUCAGAAUGUUUUGCCAGAUGCUGAGCACGCCUAACCUCCUACAAAUUUUUCCCACCGGUUUUACUUUGACCAGGUCCCAUAGUUUAGGUGUGGCCGUGGAUGGUUGCUCAUCUAUCACGAGCUAAGAACAGUCCCUUCCCUUCAUGUGAGCAUCGAUAUGUUCGUCAUGAACGAUUUCAUUCGAUCUUUACAACACUGUAAGUAUUAGUGACCCAUUUUAUGAUUAGGGACAUGGAGGCACAGAGAAGCCUAAGCAGUUGGCCCGCAGUCACACAACUAUACAUGAGGAAGCAGAAUUUGAACCGGGUCUAUCUGACACAACAGCAGGGGUCCUUUUCACUAUGCUACUCUGCCUCUCUGGUGAGGCAGGGGUCAGAAUAGGACACAGAUGCAGGAGCCCGCUCUCCGCACAGCCCUGUCCCCUGCCCUCUUGGGACUUCACAUUUGUUGGUAAACGACCAAGUCAGCAGAGCAUUGUUUUCCAGAGCCUUGGACGUUCCAGAGCACAUGUGAAUCUCCCCUUGCUCCUGAUAGGAACGGAGUCCCAGAGACGUGGUCACUUAAGACAGAGCCAGAACCAACACCCCCCACUGCUGCCUGGGCUUCUUCACCCAUCAUCAUGCCGCCUUCAGUUGGUUUCUAGUGAAGGACAGGCCUUCACAGAAGAAAGAGCCCCUCUCUGAGGGGCGGCGAGGUGCUGCGGUCCCCCCACCACUCACCAUUCGAUGAAUGUACUUAGUAUGUAAGCCAUGCUCAUCCUCGUCCAGCUGUGAUUCAGCACCUUCCACAUCCUGUUUGUAUUUGGGGCUGAUUGCUACAAUUAUCAUCACUGUCUUCUGUUAAUGAGAGAGAAAGCAUGUUUAUGGAAGUGUAAAGUGUGGUCCAUUUGGUGAAGGCAGGCUGGAAACUGGCCAGCAGGACUGUAAGCGUCGUGACAUGCUCCAGAGUGGAGGGCCUGGCUCAUUCUCUGCCCAGGGUGAAAGGCACUGGCCUCCACUCCAACAGGCUCCUGUCUCCCCUUCUCCCCUCCGUCUCCCUCCCGGCUCCCUUGAAAUGCAGAGCAAAUGGCUCUGUGAGGAGCUCUCCUAAAUGGAGGCGGUUUUGCCCACCAUUGUCCACAACCAUCACGAAUAAACGUCUAAUGAAAGCCGGAAUCGCUAAGUGACUGUGCACCGUGGCAAAAAGGCUCCGGAACAUCACCGCUGAAAAGCCCCCUCCCUCCGGCAGCUGGGUGUAAGCUGUCAGUUACUGCACUCUUGACUGCCCUGCGUGCCACGAGCGCUUACGAGUCAGCAUAGCCAGGAGGAGCAGCCCCUUCCACACAAAGCAAACAUCAGGCUGCAGACAAAAGGAAAAGCCACAAAACCCCAGCCUGCUGAGACUCUCUCCCCCACUGCUCUCUCCAAAAGCAGCAGCUGAAGCAGCCGACACGGACACACUGGCAGCAAUCAAUUUCUAUCUUGUUAAAGCACAAAGUGUCCCAGUGGUCUCUACCAAAGUCCACAGCAUCUGUCAGGCCAACUUUUCCACACAGCCGCUGUUAAAGGCCACAUUGUUUCCCCCAAAACUCACAUGUUGAAGUCUUAACCUCCACUGACUCAAUGUGACUAUAUUUGGAGAUAGAGCCUUGAGAGAGAUGAUUAAGGAAAUGACCUCGUUCCUGAUGGCUGUUGCUAAUUUAUGGUGAAACACUAGGUCCCUGGCCAAUACCACAUGGACAUCCAAUCAAUUUACCCAGGGACAAGUCCACCCAAGAGCAUCAUUUAGAAGAGAGAAGCGUUGGAGUUAUUUGUUGUUGGAGCAUACGUUUAAGAAAAUCUAAUGUAUUCCCAUGAACAUUGUACUGAGAGGAACACACAGAUGCACUCAUGUGAGAUCUGGAAAGCCAGAGGAAAUAUGCUUCUGCCACUUCUGUGGUUUCUGUUGAUAAGUGCUACCAUCAGGUGCUGAGUUCCUGGGGAAGCACCCCAGUGUCCCAUUACCAGCUCCCAUGUCAAGGUGAGGGCAGAGGCAUCCAUUGUUGGCCAGUGCAGAUCCAGCAGGCACAGAAUGGACCCAAUAACUGCAGCGCCGGUGGCUUCCUGAUCCUGGACUGUACUAUGGCGACAUGGCCUUGAAUGGAGGGUUCUCUGAUGGCUUUCUGAUCUUCUGCCUCUCCCACUGUGACGGAGGAAGCAGCUUUUUUGGCAUCCUGUUCUUUGGUGCUGCUCUGGGGUCAUUCCUGGAAGCCUGGCCUGAAGCUUGCCCUUCCAACCUCCAACGAUUCUCUGUGAAAUUGGAUGUGCCACACAACAUGCGCUUCGGCUGGUCAGGAAACAAAGAAUUUAAACUUCAUGAGGAUGUGAUUUUUGACUGUUGGGCUCAUGGCUAUCUUCUCACCAUCUAGAGCUGUACCUGGCACACAAAUAUUUGUGGACUGAAUAAGUGAUGGAUGCCUGUUUUUGGAAAGAGUACAGAUCUGUGUGGCUGGAAGGAUCACUGACAGUGAGAAUAUCAGGCACCAUGGGCUUGUCACAUGAUAUCCACAUGGUUACAUGGCCUGUGCUCCAGUCCCCAACAGGGGGUGGCACUUGGAGUGAAAUGGAAAAACCUCUGUGUCCUACCACUGUUCUAGAGGAGAAGGCUCUGACUCCCCAGAGGGACAGAAGAGCUGCCAGCCAGGACCCUGCAAGCCUGAGUGGCAAUGCCCCGGACAAAUGCUCGUGGACAUCCUGUCCCCCUCAGCAAGCCUGGGGGAAGCUGGGACCGGUCAGCCGGUCAGCCAGGAGGAUAAUGGUCAAGUCUACCUGGCCUCGGGGCAAAUUCCUGGGGAAAGGGAGAGGCUAGAGGGUGAGAGAACUCAACUCAAGGGAGUCUUCUGGCUCAGAAUCUCUUUUUGAGGCUCAGAACACAGGUGCUCAAGCCCCACACCUAGAGAUUCUGAGGUGAGGUCAGGGCUCCCGUGUAUCUUUGUUUAAGUCCCACAGGUACGCAGAUUCUCUUGUACUUGUACUCUGUGAUCUGUGCCAUUUGGCAAGAACUAUCAGAAUUUUAAAACGUUUAUGCCCUUUGACCUAGUAAUUUCACUUCUAAGAAUUUCCUCCACAGGGAUAAGGGUGUACCCUGCGAAAUGAAGAGGCUCUGAAGAUAGGCGAUGCAGCCUUGUUUGUGAUAGCAAAGACUAGAAACAACCCACAUGUGCAGAAAGGUUCUGAUUUUUAAAAACUGUGGUCCGGCCAAACAACGACUGCUGUGUCUUUCUAAAAAGACAGAGGAAGUGCUCUGGGGACUGAUGUGGAACGAUGUCCAAGAUUUACGUGUGAAGUUAGGAAAAGUAAAGAGGAGGACACUGUGCAGAGCAUGCUACCCUUUGUACGAUCUGAGGCUGUGUGUGCACAUGCCAUCUCGUCAGAAAUUUGGAACAACGGUCGCCUCUGGAAAGGGAACUGGAUGGGUGGGGAAUGGGAACAGGAGGGACGCUUGCUUUCCGGAGCAUUUUAUACCUUAUAUAUCUACUUAAAAGACAGGAGAAAAGGAAAAGUUUCAGAGUGGUCCUGCUGUUCACAAAGAUUAAGAACCAACGUGAAGGAAGGGGAGGCGUGUCUCUGAAAAGACAAAAGACCAUUCUGCUGAGGGUGAAAACAUUUGCCCCCCCCCCCCCCCCCCGGGGGGCAGGAAUGGGUGGGCACCAGCCAGGAACAGAGGGCUAGUCUGGAGUACACACAGCUAGGCUGAAGCAGUCAUGCACGGGAGUCUGGUUCUGAUUCACUGAGUUGACCCAAAAGACGCUAACUUCCCUUCUCUUGAAUCUCAUUGCCCUUUGGACAGUGAGCUGUGGUUCUAGCCCUUGAUUCUGACCGCAACUUUCUUCAAAUCUGGCGGUUUUUCUCUGUCCAAGUCUCGUCUUUGGCUUCCUUUCUGCCUCCUCUGGCCUGAAACCUUUCUCUUAGCAUAUCCACUCUUACCUUGAGUAGCCUGAUUUUGCAGAUAAGCUCUUAACCAGAUGGCAGCGGUUCCAACAUCCCAUGUGACAAUGCUCCCUGGUGUCCCAUUCACAGAAUUUCCCACCCCCUCCUCCCUUUUCCUGCACACAGCUCUUAGUCAAUCCCCCGGAGCUGCCUCCAACUCUUUGCUGGUAUCUGUUCCUGGCAACUUUUUUCUUCUCUAGCACAUCCUGCCUUAAAUUCUUAGUUUCUUGAAACAGAGCCUAUUAAGUCUUCAAAACACGAUUUUUCUGAUCUCACAGUUCAUAAAAAAGCUUCUUUUCCUUCCCUCAUCCCAACCUUCCUUUCUGCAUGUCCAUUACAUACCGCCCUGGCCUGAGUGCAAAACAAGUUCUCUCAGGGCACACGUGAAGAGACUUCAUGUCCACGUUCGCAGUGAACUGUGGCUUCUGCUUUCCAGAUGGACUUACUCUGAACCAACACAUAUUUCUAGGAUGUAGUAUUUAAAUGCACAGGCUCUACAUUCAAACUCCCCACGUUUUAAUUCUUUCUUUGCCAGCUGCAUGAUUAGAUGUGAGACCUUGAGAAAAUUACUUUACUUCCCCAGGCCUCAUUUUUCUAAUAUGUAAAAUGGGGGAAAGACCAUUUGUCUUACAGGGAUGUUGUGAGGAUAAAAGAAGAUGGAAAUAAAAUGCUGACUGCAGAACCCGGCCUAUAUCAAGCUCUCAAAAAACAAAACCUGUUUUAUUAUUGUUACAACUGAUUUGGCUUUAGAACUUUCUUCUAGACUAUGUUCACUGGUUUUAUACCUGAAUGCUAGCGUUAUUAUAUGAGCCUGAUGAAUGAAGACCAUAUCUUCUUAACCAAUAUAUAUAUUUAUGGCACAUUC